UACGUAUGGUGCAAGCGUUAUCCGGAAUUACUGGGCGUAAAGGGUGAGUAGGCGGUCGAAUAAGUCAUAUGUGAAAAUCCAGAGCUCAACUCUGGACUUGCAUAAGAAACUGUUUGGCUAGAGUGCAGGAGAGGUAAGCGUAAUUCCUAGUGUAGCGGUGAAAUGCGUAGAUAUUAGGAAGAACACCAGUGGCGAAGGCGGCUUACUGGACUGUAACUGACGCUGAGUCACGAAAGCGUGGGGAGCGAACAGG
rnacentral:rRNA from 1 species